ensembl:lncRNA
GUUGGCUUUGCAGGUCUCCCCACAUCGUAAAUCAGCACCGCUUCCCUCCGUGGCCAUGUGCUGGGCACCGCUGGAAGGGGAACCAGGGCCACUCCUGGCUCUCGGUGUGCUGCAAAGCGCUUUGUUGGGUCGGAGCAAACUGCUGUUCUCAUAACGAGGGGAUCUCGCGUUCAUUCUGCUGGCAGAGCUGCGGGGGAUGAUAGCAGGGAAGUGCUGCCGCUGCUGUUGGAAUGAUCUGAGCUAAUCCGAGGUGCAGCUCACAGCAUCUCCUGGAGGAGCCUGACCUGGUGACGAAGCCCUACAACACACUGUCGCUGGUCUGCAGCAGUUUUGAUCCCACCGUCAUACAGUGUUGCAUGGACGUGACCAAGGGCAGCUCUGUGGGAGGAAGCCAGGAGGAGAAACCUAAAGGAUCCCGUGCUCCUUGCACAGCAGUGCUGGCUGCUUUGUUCACCACCAGAAAGAAGGGAAACAGGUCAGUUCAACACCCCCAAACCUGGCAUUAGCAGUCAGUGCCCCACGUGGAGCCAUCAGGAUCAUCUCCAAAUGACGUGGCACGUCAGUCCUGCUGGAGCUAUGGCCAGGGCUGACGUUUUCCAUUACCAGAAGGGAGGGUGGGGAAAAGUAUUUUUAACAUGUAUUUAUAGACCUCACCGUGAUGCAGUUUUUCCCAAACUUCGGGUGAAGAACAAUGGACAAAGAGCUUUGUGUUAGGGCUGCUGGUUAGGAACAACAGGAGCACGGCUCCUGUGGGGAAGGAAAAGCUCCAUGCCUGCCUCGGGCUGCUCCACAACCAGCACUGGGACACGUUGGUCAGCAUCUUUGUCAGAGCUGUUGGAGCUGUGAGGCUCUUGGCGAUAGAGCAGACGUGGCAAC